UAAGGAAUAUUGGUCAAUGGACGCAAGUCUGAACCAGCCAUGCCGCGUGAAGGAUGAAGGCCCUCUGGGUUGUAAACUUCUUUUAUCUGGGAAGAAAUGCUUGUUUUUUAACGAGUUUGACGGUACCAGAGGGAUAAGCACCGGCUAACUCCGUGCCAGCAGCCGCGGUAAUACGGAGGGUGCAAGCGUUAUCCGGAUUCACUGGGUUUAAAGGGUGCGUAGGUGGGAAUGUAAGUCAGUGGUGAAAUCUCCGUGCUUAACAUGGAAACUGCCAUUGAUACUAUGUUUCUUGAAUUUUCUGGAGGUCAGCGGAAUAUGUCAUGUAGCGGUGAAAUGCUUAGAUAUGACAUAGAACACCAAUUGCGAAGGCAGCUGACUACAGGGAUAUUGACACUGAGGCACGAAAGCGUGGGGAUCAAACAGG
rnacentral:rRNA from 1 species